UACAGAGGUCUCAAGCGUUGUUCGGAUUCAUUGGGCGUAAAGGGUGCGUAGGCGGCGCGGUAAGUCGGGUGUGAAAUCUCGGGGCUUAACUCCGAAACUGCAUUCGAUACUACCGUGCUUGAGGACUGGAGAGGAGACUGGAAUUUACGGUGUAGCGGUGAAAUGCGCAGAUAUCAGGAGGAACACCGGUGGCGAAGGCGGGUCUCUGGGCAGUAACUGACGCUGAGGAGCGAAAGCGUGGGGGAGCGAACAGG
rnacentral:rRNA from 1 species